rnacentral:rRNA from 1 species
CAAUAGCGUAUAUUUAAGUUGCUGCAGUUAAAAAGCUCGUAGUUGGAUUUCGGGUGGGAAUGGCCGGUCCGCCGUUUCGGUGUGCACUUGCUACGCCCACCUUGCUGCCGGGGACGUGCUCUUGAGUUCACGCUCGGGACACGGAGUCGGCGAGGUUACUUUGAGUAAAUUAGAGUGUUCAAAGCAGGCCUACGCUCUGAAUACAUUAGCAUGGAACAACACGAUAGGACUCUGGCCUAUCUUGUUGGUCUGUAGGACCGGAGUAAUGAUUAAGAGGGACAGUCGGGGGCAUUCGUAUUUCAUUGUCAGAGGUGGAAUUCUUGGAUUUAUGAAAGACGAACUACUGCGAAAGCAUUUGCCAAGGAUGUUUUCAUUAA